ACGAAAGACAAGUCUAGAAAACAAUUUUUGUUUUACGACAACCUUAUCUGCAGUAAACAAUUUCGAAGGAUCAUUGAGAUAACCCGGACUAAAUAUACACAUCAAAAACUGAACAAUGGAACUGCAUGGAAAAAUCACAACGAAACGCAUCUACCCAAUCGAGAUCGAAGAAAAGCAAACACAGUAGACCGGUUUCAUCGAAGGUCAUAAAUCUCUGUCAACCGAAAUUUAAUGAAUUUAAAACGAAAUAUCAUUUUUCGCAGUCAACAAUAUAUUUCUACGACGAAAUCAAUAACCGACACAAGACUGAAAUCCACGCGGGACAUGGAUACCCGUGCAGGAAUCCCACAACGAAUGACGACUGACGAAACGGCAACAAUCGUGGAUAAUGGGUCACAAGAGGAUCGAAACUAGUCUUAUGUCUGCCGGUCGACAACGAACUGAACUGAUUAAACAGCAUCGAUGCACGGGGCAUACGCGACUGAGAAACUCGGAGAAACUGGCACGCCACGGUUUCUCAACG